rnacentral:snRNA from 1 species
GUGGUCGUGUGGGGCCUUGGGGUCCGUGAGGAGGACUUUGGGUCUCACUGAAAGAACAUCAACAGCACAUAUGCUGAAAUUGGAACGAUACAGAAGAGAUUCACAUGGUCUCUGCACAAGGAAGUCACAGAAAUUCAUGAAAUGUUCCAUGUUUUU